rnacentral:lncRNA from 1 species
UUGUUUGGACAAACAGUAUUCUGGUUGUGUCUCUUCAGUAGCUUGUUCUUGUACUUGCCAACUUUCAUCAUCAUCCUCCACAUCUUGAAGUUCUUGCUCUCUUCUUAACAUGAGUGCAUUCAAUGAGAUGGCCAUUUGACCCAUUUGUUGUUGCAUCAUUUGCAAGGUCUUCAUAACCUCAUUAUUAGUAUCAGUGUCCAUUGGUGGUGCUGGUUGGGCUUGAUAUCCUUGAUAAUCUUGGUAGUUGUUAGNNNN